rnacentral:lncRNA from 1 species
UGUUGACUCACCAUACCCAAGUGUAUGGGACCCAAUGAAAGCAGUGCUAAGAGGGAAAUUCAUAGCACUGAGUGCACUGGUAAAGAAACUGGAGAGAUCCUACACUAGCAAUUUAACGCACACCUGAGAGCGCUAAAACAAAAAGGAGCAAACUCACCCAAGAGGAGUAGAAGGCAGGAAAUAGUCAAACUCAGGGCUGAAAUCAAUCAAAUAGAAACAAAGAGAACAGGCUGGAGAGAUGGCUCAGCGGUUAAGAGCACCGGCUGCUCUUCCAGAGGUCCUGCAACCACAUGGUGGUUCACAACCAUCUGUAAUGGGAUCUGGCACCCUCUUCUGGUGCCUGAAGACAGUAACAGAGAGAGAGAGAGAGAGAGAGAGAGAGAGAGAGAGAGAGAGAGAGAGAGAACAAAGCAAAGAAUCAGCAAAACCAAAAGCUGGUUCUUUCAAAGAAUCAACAAGAUAGAUAAACCCUUAGCCAAACUAAAGGACCCAGAGGCAGAAUCCAAAUUAACAAAAUCAGAAAUGAAAAGGGAGACAGAACAACAGAAACUGAAGAAAUUCAAAAAAUCAUCAGAUCCUACUACAAAAGCUUCUACUCAACAAAACUGGAAAAUCUAGAUG